AUACGGAGGGUGCAAGCGUUAUUCGGAAUCACUGGGCGUAAAGGGUGCGUAGGCGGCCUGGUAAGUCAGAGGUGAAAUACACGAGCUUAACUGGUGAAUUGCCUUUGAAACUAUCAAGCUAGAAUUAUGUUGAGGUCAGCGGAAUGAGUCAUGUAGCGGUGAAAUGCAUAGAUAUGACUUAGAACACCAAUUGCGUAGGCAGCUGGCUGGGCAUUGAUUGACGCUGAGGCACGAAAGCGUGGGGAGCGAACAGGAUUAGAAACCCGAGUAGUCC
rnacentral:rRNA from 1 species